ACGAACGCUGGCGGCAUGCCUAACACAUGCAAGUCGAACGAGACCUUCGGGUCUAGUGGCGCACGGGUGCGUAACGCGUGGGAAUCUGCCCUUUGCUACGGAAUAACUCGGGGAAACUCGUGCUAAUACCGUAUGAUGUCGCAAGACCAAAGAUUUAUCGGCAAGGGAUGAGCCCGCGUAGGAUUAGCUAGUUGGUGAGGUAAAGGCUCACCAAGGCGACGAUCCUUAGCGGUCUGAGAGGAUGAUCAGCCACACUGGGACUGAGACACGGCCCAGACUCCUACGGGAGGCAGCAGUAGGGAAUAUUGGGCAAUGGAGGCAACUCUGACCCAGCCAUGCCGCGUGCAGGAAGAAGGCCCUCAGGGUU
rnacentral:rRNA from 1 species